UGAGGAAUAUUGCGCAAUGGAGGCAACUCUGACGCAGCAACGCCGCGUGGGUGAAGAAGGCCCUCGGGUUGUAAAGCCCUGUCAGGUGGGAAGAACCCUCUGUAGUUGAAUAGACUACAGAACUGACGGUACCACCAAAGGAAGCACCGGCUAACUCCGUGCCAGCAGCCGCGGUACGACGGAGGGUGCAAGCGUUGUUCGGAAUCCCUGGGCGUAAAGCGCGUGUAGGCGGCCUGACAAGUCGAAUGUGAAAGCCCGGGGCUCAACUUCGGAAGCGCAUACGAAACUG
rnacentral:rRNA from 1 species